rnacentral:rRNA from 1 species
GGCCAGACUCCUACGGGAGGCAGCAGUGGGGAAUAUUGCACAAUGGGGGAAACCCUGAUGCAGCGACGCCGCGUGAGUGAAGAAGUAUUUCGGUAUGUAAAGCUCUAUCAGCAGGGAAGAAGUUGACGGUACCUGAGUAAGAAGCCCCGGCUAACUACGUGCCAGCAGCCGCGGUAAUACGUAGGGGGCAAGCGUUAUCCGGAUUUACUGGGUGUAAAGGGAGCGUAGACGGCAGUGCAAGUCUGAAGUGAAAGCCCCGGGCUUAACCCGGGAACUGCUUUGGAAACUGUACGGCUGGAGUGCUGGAGAGGUAAGCGGAAUUCCUAGUGUAGCGGUGAAAUGCGUAGAUAUUAGGAGGAACACCAGUGGCGAAGGCGGCUUACUGGACAGUAACUGACGUUGAGGCUCGAAAGCGUGGGGAGCAAACAGGAUUAGAUACCCUUGUA